GGACCAAAUGCGAAAUUCACCCCAAAACGAUUUAGCGCGCGGAUCCUCACGGUAGUGGAUCGAGUUGGAAUGGGUCACCUUAUACGGCACCGUUUUGAAGCCAUUGCAAUUGACUCUGAAUGGUGCCGUUUUCUUCCUCUUAUAAAAGCUAAAACAUAUCAAAAAAACAAUGUUCAGCAGUUCUUUAUGAAUCAAAAUCCUAGCCUCUCUUGAUUUUCCCUCAACCGAUCCUAACACCUCACUUUGAAACGCCGAUCCGCCAUCAUAAACGGCGUCCAGCAGAUUCAAGCCUUGAGGGACGACAUUCUCGGCCAUAAGAUCUGCUCUCAACAUCGAUUUCAGCGAAACAAAUGGAAUCGCAAGGUGUGUAUGGCAUAGAAAAAACCGUUCGUGGCCGUGGACAGAAGAACGGAGGCGCACGUGUGUUGGGGAGGCUGAUGGCGUUUGCGGCGCUGGCUGUUGUCUAGGGUUGGCCGAAAGUUUGGUUGAUGUUUUGGGCCUGGGGUAUUUUGGGUUUAAGUUUAUUAGGUUGGGUUUAUUGUUGGGUUAAUAAAUGUAAACGGACUAGACUUUUAAAUUAUUUUGGUUUUAUUAUUAUUUUUUGUUUUAUUUUGGUUUUGGUGUAAGCCCGGGCAAAUUUGGGCCUAUACAUAAUAAAUUUUGAUUUGAUAA